ACGCAUCUUUGACAGCCCAGACUCUCUGCUGUGAGAAGACUCUGGGUUACAGUAUUACAGAUGCAAAACUAUCAUUCCCUGCGCUUUCUGCUCGCUUGUUUUCAAUGGCGUCCCAGAUUGAAGAGGGGAAAACAAAU